CUUUGACAUGUGUCCCACGUGGUACCCUAGAGGGACCCCGGUGAGCCUGAAUCCAAUUGUCCACAGAGGUAACCUACUCAUUAAUGCGCUCUGUAUUGACUCUUCUUGUUUCCCUAACUACCUCAUUGGGACUCCCAAAUAAUCUACCUGCAUCAAAGCCCCCAUCUCAGCCUCCUUUCCCCAAACCUCCCAACCUGAAGUAGAGAUAUACUAUUUCCCCUUGGAUUACAAUCUAUGAGCAUGGGAACCCAGAUCUUUGAGUCACAAGACACCUACAACACAAGAGUCUGAAAACAUGCAACAAAUGGACCCACAGAGGCCGAGACUCCAAGAGAGGAUCCUGUUGCUGUGGGCAGCCUGGAUCCAGCCUACCUGAAGGGAGCUCCGUUUUUACCUUGACCAGUCCAUUACUUGACACCUAAGCGUCAGCUAGUUUUGAGUUGGGUUUCUAUCCCUUGCAAUUGAAAAAGAGUCCUGAUGAAGUGAUUUAUUUUCUUCUUUUUGCUUAUUUUUUUCCAUAAUGUAAUACAAAAGACCUUGUAAUGCCAAAAAGUGACAGAAUAGAGUUCUAAGGGAAAAAAAUCACUCUAAAUGCCUUUGACAACAUCACCUUAAUUGCCCGUGUGGGCGCAGCCCACCUUUUUCCCUUGGUAUCAGUGAAACCAGGCCUUCGUGAAACAAUGGAAUCAUUGAACCGUGCAU
rnacentral:lncRNA from 10 species